UACGUAGGGCGCAAGCGUUGUCCGGAAUUAUUGGGCGUAAAGAGCUCGUAGGCGGUUUGUCGCGUCUGCUGUGAAAACCUGAGGCUCAACCUCGGGCUUGCAGUGGGUACGGGCAGACUAGAGUGCGGUAGGGGUGACUGGAAUUCCUGGUGUAGCGGUGGAAUGCGCAGAUAUCAGGAGGAACACCGAUGGCGAAGGCAGCUCGCUGGGACGGUACUGACGCUGAGGCGCGAAAGCGUGGGGAGCAAACAGG
rnacentral:rRNA from 1 species